rnacentral:rRNA from 1 species
GACGAACGCUGGCGGCGUGCUUAACACAUGCAAGUCGAACGGUAAGGCCCUUCGGGGUACACGAGUGGCGAACGGGUGAGUAACACGUGGGUGAUCUGCCCUGCACUUCGGGAUAAGCCUGGGAAACUGAGUCUAAUACCGGAUAGGACUCCGGACUGCAUGGUCUGGGGUGGAAAGCUUUUGCGGUGUGGGAUGGGCCCGCGGCCUAUCAGCUUGUUGGUGGGGUGAUGGCCUACCAAGGCGACGACGGGUAGCCGGCCUGAGAGGGUGUCCGGCCACACUGGGACUGAGAUACGGCCCAGACUCCUACGGGAGGCAGCAGUGGGGAAUAUUGCACAAUGGGCGCAAGCCUGAUGCAGCGACGCCGCGUGAGGGAUGACGGCCUUCGGGUUGUAAACCUCUUUCACCAGGGACGAAGCGCAAGUGACGGUACCUGGAGAAGAAGCACCGGCCAACUACGUGCCAGCCGCCGCGGUAA